rnacentral:misc_RNA from 1 species
CGAACUGCGAUAAGUGAUGUGAAUUGCAGACGUACACGAAUCAUCGAACCCUUGAACGCAUUCUGCGCCUCGAAGUUUGUCUUCGAGGCAUAUCUGGGUGAGUGUCGGUUUAACCUUCUUGCAUAAUAUUUUUUAUGCAUAUUUGGUAGUAAAUCGACUAGGUCAAUUUUCUAUUAAAAUAGAUUGAUAGCUAGAUUUAGAGAAUUUUGCUUUUAGGCAACCCUUCUAGAUGUAUACAGAAGUAACUGUGUUACCUUCUCGUAUCUACAAGGCCUGUCUCUACUAAAAAUUCUCCUAAUCAAAGGUCACUUGAUUUCUUUUUUAACAAAGAAUUCCAAACCUUCGACCUCACCUAGGUAAGACUACCCGCUGAAGUUAAGC